GAAUUUGUCUUGGUGUAGUUAACAAACACUUCCACUACUGCUUGUGCCAGGUACUGAUGACUGAUGAUGUCAUUUACUUGAACCUUUAGCAUGAACACCGAUCCUGAGGCCGCCGCGGCGGGGGCUCCCCCCGGCAGCGCCGCUCGCUCCGGCUGAGGGCGGGUGGCGGCGGCGGCCGUCGGCCGGCCCUGCAGCAGCAGCAGCAACAGCGCCAGAAGCAGAGAGGGGGGCGGCCCGCGGGUCCCCGGCAUGGCGGGCAGCCCGCGGGCAGCCGAGGAGCAUCGCGGGCGAACACCACACCGGGAGCUCCGGCACCGAGCGGCCGCUGAUCCCACCCCCUCCGCUACGUGCGGGGCGGGGCCGCCCUGAGGGGCGGUGCUGGGGCUGCAGUGUUCCGUCAGCGCGGGGACCCACUGUGCCGCGUCCACACACGUCCGGGGACGGUGACCCGGCACCUCCCUGAGCAUCACCGCUCUUUCAGAGAAGUUUUUCCCAACACCUGACUGGAUUAAGUGCGGAAAACACGUCGGGACCGCCUCACAGAGGAUUUCAUGCCAGCACCAACGUGGCCGUGCCUUGAUUUCAGAGAGGCAGGUGCUGAGGCUGUUCCGUGUGUCGCUUCACUCAUACACAAGUUUCUUCAGAAGUUGCUGAGUUUGCUGAAAAAUAUGACUUCAGCCACUCGUGCCCUACGGACGAACUGUGCUGCAAUGAGAAACUUACAGCCACCUCAGCAGUGUCACCUACUACACUGAAGGAACAUACCUGCUCUCCAGUGAAGUUGUACAUGGAAGACAUGUUUUUCCCAUUGUAGAUAGACACCUGCACAUGAGAAAACACGCAUUAUGGCAAAGCAACAAUAUUCAUCUUUUCCUUUAUUAUAUAACUGUUUCAAAUUUCCUACCAUGCCUAGAGUUCUUGCUGCUCUUGGGACUCCUGAUACAAAGUCUGAAAUACAAAACAAGACACCCAUGUAACAUUCAGUUUCCAAAGCAGAAUGUCCUCACUUGAACGAGGUAGCUCAUUCCUUUGCACUUUAUCAUUUGUACUACACCACUUAUUUGAAAGUCCUGCCCAGUGUAUCACCAUAAUUUUUUUUUAUUUUUAUUUUUUUUUAACUGAGAGAAGGAUCUUACCUUCUAUGCCAUCACCACUGAAGUCUCCAACAGCCACAGAAUAACCUGAUUCAGAGACAAAAUUAGUAAAUCACUUGAGGAACCUUUAUAAGUCUUUCACCUCUCUAAACUCUUCACAAGUCUUGGUGCACAACCCUCCUGCUUCAUGUUAAAAUGCAGUGAAAUGAUUUUUUUGCCUCUGAGUAGAUUGGAUGAUGAACAGCUACACAGGUAGACUGUAAUUCAUCAGCUUCCAUGUAAGUACAGCAGGUUGUUAAAUUCACCCAGUGAAUUUGUCUAACUUUGUAUACCAGGUCUUUUAUGAUCAGCAGCAUGUUUCAGACAGACUCAAAGACUGUUCAGAACAAAAAUGUUUGUUUGUUUUUUCACUAACUCAAAAACAAACUAACAACAACAACAACCACCCAGCAAUUUAGAUUCCAUCAUCAUAAUAGUUGUUUUCAAAUGGAAAUCCUGAAAGAAUUUACCAAAAAACAACUUUAUAUCUGCAAAGCUCAGCAAAUAUUUGCUAGUCAUCUUGUCAAAUGUUCAUUUGUAAAACAGUGUCAGUUGAGGAUUCUGCAAAUAGAACUUUACCUUGUAUAGAAAAGGAUAAAAACUGAGAGCAGUUUAGAAUAGUACCAGCAUAAAGGACAGAACUCUGAGCACUGGUCUUUUGACCCUUUAGCUGAAGACUUUAGCCAAAUGACUACACUGUUUUACUUUAAAUGCAAAGAACCUUGAGAGACUUUAAGCAUCACUGUCAUUAUCACAAAGCUUCUGUUUGAACGUCACAUUCCUUAUUUUCCACCUACCACACUGCUGAGUUGCUAGUUCAGGUCAGAUUCAGAGAAAAUGUACCAGCAGACGUUACUCACAGAAAAACAGUCUAUUCCCAAAUACUGAUCACCUCUUCAGCUAAGAGAUUUUGUAACGUUAUCUAUAGAUCAUGUGAACAACUUGCCAUUUGCAGUUGGAAAUUGAGAGAUGACACACCAAUCUACAUGCAUUCAUGCAGAUUUUAGUUAGAAGCAUAAUGAAGUUGUCUACAUUUAGAUAUCCUUCCUGCUUUCUAUCUGGUAUGUAAAAGCGUAGUGACUUCUGCAUGCAGAAGCAAGAACAUAAAUUUUACUUUCUCUCUGCAAAUGUAUUAAGAAUAUAAACAUAUUUAUGGAGAUUUUUUGAGGGAAUCAGAAAAAGAUGGGGGCUUGCUCAUCACUAAACCCAUACUGACUGCAGUCACAAGCAGUGUUUAGUUGAAAGCUCAAGCAAGCUUAAAAUCUAAUGAGCAAGAAAAUGCACGAAUCCUGGAUUCUGUGGUUUCCCAUAUGGUUAGCCCUAUUCUUGAAAAUCUUAAUCUGAAUAACUUAAAUUGUUGUUAAAAGAAAUCAUGUUCAAGGAAGAUGAGGAAGAGAUUAGAAUCAGUUCCUGGGAAAUGCCCACAUCCACCCUUAGUAUUUUUCUGGACACAGUUAGACGUAGGUAAAGCUAAAUGAUAAUUUCUUACUUGCCAAAAGCCAUCUUAUCAUUAGCUUUCUUUCCAAACAUGAUUCUGUCCCAUUUUUGUUUUGUUUUGAGAUGUUUUUCAGAAACAACUGCUUUUCUAAAAUAAAUAGCUAUGUGAGUAACUUGUCAGGUAAAGAUCACCCCUGAUAAGUCAACUUAGGCCUAAAUUACAGAGCUCCAUUAUGUAUGGAAAUAGUCCUGUUUAUUUUGUCAUUAGCUGGUUUUUGAAUCAAGAUUAUGGCAAGGUAACCAAGCUUCUCUCAUACAUCAAUUACAGCAUUUUCAGCUCUUUUUCUAUCUGACGAAUUUUAAAUUAAUAGUGUGGUCUACACUUGAAUAGGAAGAAUAUGAAUAGCAGAAGAGGUUUUGUGUUUGUUUUGUUUGCUUUCUAAGUACAACAAGGCUUACUUCCCUUUCAAACUACAUACCCAAGUAGCUGUCAUCAAAAGCAGCACUAGCAGGUCUGGUUGCUAACUGGUCGUCAUAUUUUGUACUGUAGACUUUGGAGUCAUAUUUAGCCAAAAUCUCUGCCACUCGAUCAGAAAUGAGCUGGCCUGAAGAGAAAGAACACAGCUUAAAACACAUGUGCACACAUUUGGUAAACAAGACAGAUUUAUGAGAUUCUUGCUUAUGAAGCAACAGCUCUUCCACAGUACUAAUCAGUAAACAGCCAACAGCAGCAGUGCUAGAAAGGAUGAAAAUGGAAAUCUGGAUCCUACUUCAGCAAAGAUUUAUACACAUAUUUAAUCAAAAGCUCACAAAGUGUUUUCACUGAAAAUAGAAGCCACUCCUGUAUGUAAGGCAGGACUUGAAUGGGACUGCUUAGUAAGGUAAAAGUAAGCACGUGCUUGUGCUAUUUCAGAACUGAGUCAUCCUGUCUUGUCUGAAUUCCGUAAAAUGAGAGCUUAGUAUGGCAGUAAACAAGCUAUUAACAAGCUAGUGCUUUACUGCCUUCUUCCUGUUCUCAUUUCACUAGCCACUAGAUGGUGACUUCAUCACAUUCCUUUCUUUGAGUAUAAGAUUACAUUAUAUUGCAAGACUUUUUUUUUCCAGGAGAGCACUGACUUCACAUACAUAUUCCCCAGAUGUGUAUGCAGUACAGGGACAAAUACUCUUCCUGCUUCUCAGAAUGUGGGCUAAAAAUAUAGCUUUCGGAAGUAUGCUAUUGCUAUCUUCUAUUCAGAACUGAGAUUUUUCUUUGGUAGUAACAGAAGAGAAUAAAUAGUUUUAACAAAUGAAUUAGCAGCUCUGCCAGAAAGCAGUAGGAUGAAUAUAGGUACAUAAUCUGUACUGUAUUCUGUCUGCAGCUGAAUUUCAAUCAUUUCAUUUUGUUUGGAGUUCUGGAAACAGAACUAGAAAGAAGCCUGCUGUGAUGCUGAGUCUACACGUUGCCUGGCAUUAUAUAGAAAAUCUUUAAUAAAUGCUGGUGUUUACAUUAAAAUAAAGGCAACAGAUGUUGGCAAUUCUGUUCUGGUUGUAACAACCAUCUUCUGAACUGAGGGCUAUAGGUAAACACUGCAUGAUCCUGCAAACAAGUACUCACUGAAGCCCACAUUAACAAAAUAUAUAGCAGGUGUUCUGUGGAAACUGAACAGCACAGUUACAACUUGCACCACAGUGCAAACAGAUCAAUGCAAAUAAAUGCAAUAUAUCUUUGCCUUCAAGGGAAGUUCUUUGUACAGUACAUUUCUCAUGGAAAAUGCAUGUUUAAUGUGCACGUGAGAUAAUACAAAAUCUCUAACUUUUGAAAGAAGCAGCAAAAUAACAAAGAAUACUUAUCCUUCUGGUACAGACACUAUUUACAUGUUCCCAGGAAAAUGCAUUUAAAAUUAUCACACAACUAUUCCAAAGACAAAAUACACCUACUGAGUUAUUAUUUCAGCUUUAAUCUGUUGCCUUGAUAACUCAGGAAAUACGCUGAACGAUGACGGAAAACUAUUUCUGUUAGCUCUCUUACUGACAAAGAUUUUGACAACAGUUGCAGGAGUGUGGAUAAAAAGGAAUAAAAAGAUGUAGAGAAAACUGAAGAGGUCAUCCUGUUCUGUAACUUAAACAGCGUAUCUCACCUUGCCAGUAAAAACUGCCAGGUCCUCCAAGCAGGACUCUGUCUCCCUUGGGGGAAAAAAGAAAAGGGGGGGAUAAUCUUAAAAUUAGUCAUUUCUGAAGACCAAGAGAACAUGUCCUGUAUUCAUGGGAAUCAAAUAACCUCAUGCAAAUAAACUGCAUAUAAAUAAACCACAUGUAAAUAAAUUGUAGCUUCAUUGACCCCCCACCCCACACACACAUAUUACAUUUUUUGAAGGAAUGAUUGAUUAAUCCUAAUUAAAAAUGUAUGUGUUGUAGAACACUAAGACAAAGUACAAUAUCACUUCAGUGACUUGCUUCUCUACAUCAUCCAUCUAAAAUUAUCAGCAUAAUUUUGGUUUGUGUUUUAGUAGAACUUUAUAUCCAGAUAAGGCAACAGAAACACAUUUAGGAGAGAGUAUAAAGAUUGCUACAAACCAAUAAUAUGGUUUUUGGCCAGUACACAAAACUAGACUCAUCUUCUGCCCCUCUUCUUUCUACAACUUCCUGUUAGAAAAGUUUAAUUCAGAAAAGCUAUGAUGUAAUUCCCCUACUCCGUAUUCCUUGUUAGAAUUGAAAUCCACAAACCAUUUUAUGCAACUUGAACCACAUUAGCUAUCCCAGUGCUGGGAAAUUGCUCCCUAAGUACUUGACUCAAUCAGGCCAUUGGCUUUGCUGCAUCGCUAAGCCACUUAGCCUCAUUUUAAUCUAAAAACUCCCAUAUUCACCUCUCAGAAGAAAAUAGGUCAGAGAUUUGGAAAUACCAGUCUUGCCCAACUCAGCUAGGGAGGUGGACUGGAGCUCAGCAUUUGUUUUAACAAGGGCUACAGUCUGCACAGCAGUCCUGAAGGGUACAGGCAAAAUAACUGAAACACUUCUGGGCCAAUAUUACUCUUUCCACAGUCUGUGGAAGAAAAACAAGGGUGUCCUCAGGCAAAGAAUGAAGAGAUAUAAUGCAAUUCUAAGGUCUGAAAAGCCCAAAAGACUGCUACAUCGUAAAUAGGUCUUACCAUGCCCAGAUAAUGCUAAACAAUUUAACUGACAAAAAAAUGAUAAAAGAACUACAGUUAGUUCUGAGAUUCAUGCGCAGUUUUAUUGUGAGUAGACUUAAGAAGUUAUUGUGAAUUAAAAUAUAGGUAUAUUAAAGGGAAGGAGAAUAUACCAUAGAAAAAAAUAUAAGAAACACAGAAAAAAGAAGGUCUAUUUCUCCUGGUCACUGAGAAAAACAAAGCUCCAUUCACAAGAACGCUGUCUACCAGUUCCCUUCAGCAGUAACUUAGUCUUCCUCAACAAGUAACAUUAGCCAUGCACUAGUCCUUCCAGAACAAAGUGUCUAAAGACUUUCGACAUGAGAACUAGCUGCAGCAGGGCUUUAUAGCACGAGGCUGGGAAACUGGAUUAUUUAUUUUUGACAUGACUCCUAGAAGUGGUAAGCAUGCUGUUGUGAAGGUGUAGGGAAAAACACGUUUACACUACUGGAACGGUUUGAAGGGAUUGUUCUUAGUUUACAAGGAGUUUAUUGUUUUCUUUCUCUCCCCUGCCUGACCAGGAGUGGUGGUUUACGUGAAGUUUCAUAAUGUCUGUG
rnacentral:lncRNA from 1 species